rnacentral:lncRNA from 1 species
ACUGAUGUUUGAGGCUAUGAGAAAGACCUUGAAUAGGUCCAAGGCACACUUGCCUUUUGGUAUGGCUCUCACUUUAGUAUUUAGGAGGUUCGGAGUUAGCUUUGAGGGGGAGGCAGUAGCUAGGCUAUCUCACUCCGACACUAUGAACCGCCAUACUUUGCACCGCAUGGGAUUUUUCAAAACUGAUGGUGGUUGGGCAAA